UAGUUAUGAUCUUUAAAACUAAAGAAUUUGGUGGUGUUUUAUUCUCAAUAGAGGAAUUUGUUUCGUAAUUGAUAAUCCUCAUUUUAUCUUUCUUUAUUUUGUUUUUAGUAUGUAUAUCGCCGUUAUAAAUUUAUUUUUUUAGAAAUUAAUUUAUUGAAAAUUAUAUUUUAUAUUAUUUCAGGUCAAGGUUCAGCUUAUAAUGAAGAGUUUAAUGAAUUACAAUAUUUUAUCAAUAUAUGGAUUAAUUUUUUAAAAUUUUUAUGAAGGUGGAUUUAUUAGUAAUUUUAAAUAUAUAGUUAGGUUGAAUUUAGCUCUAGGAUGUAUACACAUCGCCCGUCGCUCUA
rnacentral:rRNA from 1 species